AACGCACAUUGCGCCCCUUGGUAUUCCGGGGGGCAUGCCUGUUCGAGCGUCAUUACACCAAUCAAGCGUAGCUUGGCAUUAGACCUCUUCGCCCGCGUCUCAACGCGGACGGGUCUCAAAACCUUCGGCGAGGUCGUAUCCGACUUUAGGCGUAGCAGAAUCUGUCAAACGUCUGCGAGAGUCGCGAGAGCCCUUUGACCGCUUUGAACCCCAAAAUUUUCACAAGGUUGACCUCGGAUCAGGUAGGAAUACCCGCUGAACUUAA
rnacentral:misc_RNA from 1 species